rnacentral:rRNA from 2 species
CAGUGAUAAACUGGAGGAAGGUGGGGAUGACGUCAAGUCAUCAUGGCCCUUACGACCAGGGCUACACACGUGCUACAAUGGCGCAUACAAAGAGAAGCGACCUCGCGAGAGCAAGCGGACCUCAUAAAGUGCGUCGUAGUCCGGACUGGAGUCUGCAACUCGACUCCAUGAAGUCGGAAUCGCUAGUAAUCGUGGAUCAGAAUGCCACGGUGAAUACGUUCCCGGGCCUUGUACACACCGCCCGUCACACCAUGGGAGUGGGUUGCAAAAGAAGUAGGUAGCUUAACCUUCGGGAGGGCGCUUACCACUUUGUGAUUCAUGACUGGGGUGAAGUCGUAACAAGGUAACCGUAGGGGAACCUGC